GAUGAACGCUGGCGGCACGCCUAACACAUGCAAGUCGAACGAGAAGCUACCUUCGGGUAGUGGACAGUGGCGGACGGGUGAGUAACACGUGGGAAUAUGCCUUUCGGUAGAGAACAACGCUUGGAAACGAGUGCUAAUACUCUAUACGCCCUCAGGGGGAAAGAUUUAUCGCCGAGAGAUUGGCCCGCGUUAAAUUAGCUAGUUGGUGAGGUAAUGGCUCACCAAGGCGACGAUCUAUAGCUGGUUUGAGAGGAUGAUCAGCCACACUGGGACUGAGACACGACCCAGACUCCUACGGGAGGCAGCAGUGAGGAAUAUUGGACAAUGGGGGAAACCCUGAUCCAGCGAUGCCGCGUGAGUGAAGAAGGCCUUAGGGUUGUAAAACUCUUUCAGGGGUGAAGAUAAUGACGGUAACCCCAGAAGAAGCUCCGGCUAACUCCGUGCCAGCAGCCGCGGUAAUACGGAGGGAGCUAGCGUUGUUCGGAAUUACUGGGCGUAAAGCGCGCGUAGGCGGCUUGGUAAGUAGAGGGGUGAAUCCCAGAGCUCAACUCUGGAACUG
rnacentral:rRNA from 1 species